rnacentral:rRNA from 1 species
AUACGUAGGGGGCAAGCGUUGUCCGGAAUCACUGGGCGUAAAGCGCGCGCAGGCGGCCAUUUGCGUCCGGGGUGAAAGCCCAAGGCUCAACCUUGGGAUUGCCUUGGAUACGGGAUGGCUUGAGGAUCGGAGAGGCAAGGGGAAUUCCACGUGUAGCGGUGAAAUGCGUAGAGAUGUGGAGGAACACCUGUGGCGAAGGCGCCUUGCUGGCCGAUUUCUGACGCUGAGGCGCGAAAGUGUGGGGAGCAAACAGGAUUAGAUACCCUGGUAGUCCACGCCGUAAACGAUGAGUGCUAGGUGUUGGGGGGUACCACCCUCAGUGCCGAAGCUAACGCAUUAAGCACUCCGCCUGGGGAGUACGGUCGCAAGACUGAA